rnacentral:rRNA from 1 species
UGGCGGCGUGCUAAUACAUGCAAGUCGAGCGGACUUGCUGGAGCUUGCUCCAGCAGGUUAGCGGCGGACGGGUGAGUAACACGUGGGCAACCUGCCUGUAAGACUGGGAUAACUCCGGGAAACCGGAGCUAAUACCGGAUAGUAUCUUGAACCGCAUGGUUCAAGUUGGAAAGACGGUUUCGGCUGUCACUUACAGAUGGGCCCGCGGCGCAUUAGCUAGUUGGUGAGGUAAUGGCUCACCAAGGCAACGAUGCGUAGCCGACCUGAGAGGGUGAUCGGCCACACUGGGACUGAGACACGGCCCAGACUCCUACGGGAGGCAGCAGUAGGGAAUCUUCCGCAAUGGACGAAAGUCUGACGGAGCAACGCCGCGUGAGUGAUGAAGGUUUUCGGAUCGUAAAACUCUGUUGUUAGGGAAGAACAAGUGCGAGAGUAACUGCUCGCACCUUGACGGUACCUAACCAGAAAGCCACGGCUAACUACGUGCCAGCAGCCGCGGUAAUACGUAUGUGGCAAGCGUUGUCCGGAAAUUAUUGGGCGUAAAGCGCGCGCGGGCGGUUUCUUAAGUCUGAUGUGAAAGCCCCCGGCUCAACCGGGGGAGGGUCAUUGGAAACUGGGAAACUUGAGUGCAGAAAGAGGAGAGG